UACAGAGGGUGCAAGCGUUAAUCGGAAUUACUGGGCGUAAAGGGCGCGUAGGCGGAUUAAUAAGUUAGGUGUGAAAUCCCUGGGCUUAACCUGGGAAUGGCAUUUAAUACUGUUAGUCUAGAGUAGAGUAGAGGGAAGUGGAAUUUCCGGUGUAGCGGUGAAAUGCGUAGAGAUCGGAAAGAACACCAGUGGCGAAGGCGGCUUCCUGGACUCAUACUGACGCUGAGGCGCGAAGGCCAGGGGAGCAAACGGG
rnacentral:rRNA from 1 species